UCCGUUUUAACAACGGCAGUCUCUUUCGAGACUCGCCGGCUUUCACCGGUUUAGAGAUGCAUGUCAAGGCCAGGUAAGGUUCUUCGCGUUGCAUCGAAUUAAGCCACAUACUCCACCGCUUGUGCGGGCCCCCGUCAAUUCCUUUGAGUUUUAGCCUUGCGGCCGUACUCCCCAGGCGGGGUGCUUAAUGCGUUAGCUUCGGCACGGACGGAGUCGACACCGCCCACACCUAGCACCCAUCGUUUACGGCGUGGACUAC
rnacentral:misc_RNA from 1 species